AGCACGAGCCCCAGAAUGGGACGAUAGGAGGAAGUGUGCUUUGAGGAUGAAGGAUGAAGUUAUCGUUCCAACCAAAUGCAUCAUUUCCUACUGGGAGGCUUCGUGGGGCACUAUAAAAGGCACCCCAUCUCCCUAGGUUCUUCACAAUCUCACUUCCAUUCUCUAUUGAUACUACACUCCUAACAUCUCCAAAAGAAAUGGGCAACUCCGGUUCAGGUGGUGGCUGUGACUGCUGCGGUGGAGGCGGUGGAGGUGAAUCCAUGAUGAUUGUCUCCUGUCCAGGGAACAACAACUGCUGCCCCUCUCCCUGUUGCUGUGCUCCACGGUGCUGCGUCCCGUGUUGCAACCAGUGUUGCACCCAGUGUUGCGCCCCUUGCUGUUGCCAAGGCUGCUGCAAGUGAAAGCCAACUCCACUAGAACCAUCUUCUGGAUGUGGCCCUUUAACUCUCUUUCCCUCCUGGGUUUGCCAUCUUUUCUGUUUCUGCAACCCAAUCUGACCUGUUGACUAUUUCUAUCAUGCUUAAUAUCUUCUUUGACCUAUGCUUGAACUUGGUAUUUCCUUGGAACAUGAUUUCUCAAGCUUAAAGGGGAAUCUGGGAACUUUAGUUCCUCUCCCCCAAAGACCAUGCUCUUUCUUAAAGCUCUGCCCCUUUCUAUCCCUAGACUCUAUUAAAUCUACUUUUGUUCUAUUUCAUGAUUUGUCUCGCCCUCGGCUUUAUUGCUUCCCAUUCCUUCACAAGCUUGCAGUCGGCCCAUCUUGAACGUUGGCUGGAAAAUCCAUAGACUCUUUUUGCCCCAAUUCUCCUGAAAUGCAUGCAAUUUCCUCCACCUAUGCAGUUUUGCAAACAAUUCCUCACAUUUCUCUCUCUGUGUAUAUGCAUUUCCCCUUAAUUUAUGGUCACGGUUUUGGAGAACUCUGUGAUAGCUUUCAAAGAAGUACGAAUUGGUUUGUUUAUUGGUUCCCAAAGUUCCAUUGGAACAUUUUUGUGUUAAAAUGCAAACUAAACAAGUCCCGUCCUCUCCACAGUUAGGAUGGGCCUCGUUUAGUCCUCCUUCUAGCCUAGGUCUACUACUAGUCUCUUUUCUUCUCCUGCUCUGCUAUUUGUCUUCUGAGUCUUGCUUCUCAUCACUACAUGAAAAACCAAGGAGGAGACAUAAUAACGUUGGGUCGGGACUCAGGAGAUCCAAGGACUAACUCUCUCAUGUAUCCAUGCAAGUCACCAGAUGAGUUUGAACCACGAUGACGUGUCUCUCUUGGUGAGGAAAGAGGAGAACCAUUGACUUCACCAUGAGCUUAUCGGAAGAAAGGAGGAUUGACAUUUAUUAACAACUCACCACUACAAUGAAGGAUGAACCCAUAAUGGAAGAUACAUCUACCACAUGGACGGAUUGUCAGUUGGGAUUAGUAUCUUUCCCAUCUUCCACACUUUUGUAGUAUCCCUUCAUAAAUCCACCCUGAAGGGGAGGCUGUAGACAAUUCCAUCCAUAGCUCAUGCCCACCAUCAGGAGCUAUGUCAACUGAAUAUGUGAAAGGACAAUGCCUCCUCUUCCUACUCCAACUCAGGACCUCAUGGAGAUACAGUGAUUCCAAGUUCAACUCAGGAUUCUCUCUCUCUGCUGCUUGUAAUGUCUUGCCAUUUCCAAAAACUUGCAUGCUUAUUCAAAUAAAAAAGUAUUAUACUAA